CUCUUCUUCUUCAGCCUCUUCAGCAUGCUCAAAGAACCUCCUAAUGCUUUCCCCUCUUGUUAUUGUAACAAAACCAUCCCCAACCACAAGCCUGCAAUGUACACAUUGUUGCCCCUUCAAUGCAUGUGCUUUGACAGAAAGUUCAGUACAUCUGCCAUCCAGUUUCCAUGCCCGUAGAGUGAUAUAGCAGGCAUUGAAACCGCUCAAGUCUAGACCACUGACUUGCACUCUUCCACUCAAGCCAACAUUUUCAUAGUCCAAUAUAUCACAUUUUCCUUCUCCAGUUCCAACUGCCCAUUCAAAGUGAUGAUAUGUCCCAAAGGUAUCAAUGAACGCCUGAUGCCAGUCAGCUACAAUUGUGUCGUGAGAAACCUGAACACGAGUAAAAUGGCAUUAAUCUAGGUGCAAAUAACAACCUCUUUCACUUUAUCUGCACUAAGUUCUAGGAGUGGUAGCAUUUUUUGUCAAUAGCAUUAGUAUCUUAGGUCUCCAUGUUUGCUCUCCUUUAAUUCCACAUUUGGUGGGUAGUUGGGAUGGUGUAGUGGAAGGGGGAAGUUGGGGUCACUGAUUCACUCUCAAGUCCUUUUAACACAACUGAAAUGCCAUCAAUGAAAUGAUAUGCAGAAAAGACCAUUGACCAAAAUGGGAACAAUUUACUAAAUAAUCCAUGAAACUAAAAACUAGAAGGGUAGAAGAAAGGGAUAAAUUUUGUAAAAUCCAAAGAUUAAAAUGGUAUUUAAAAAAAGGAAAAUAUCAGUUCCCUAUAAGAUAUCCAUGGAAAAAUGAAAUUAGGCACAAACUAGCUUGCUUCCACUUCAUACUUUGCACACCACAUGAACAAUGAAAGAGAUGAACAUGAAGAAUUGAUCACACCUCAUACUGGAAUGCUGCAUCAGCAACACAAAACCAAAUACUGCAAUGAGGUUCUCUGCGCAUGCGUUUCAACUCCUUCAGCUCCUUGAAUUCACGGAUAACAUUCCUUCUACAAUCUCUACAAAAUCUCUUGCUAUCAAACCUGUGGCAAGCAACAAACUCACAGUAAGUUAGUCAUCUGAUGGAAUUGCCUUUAAGUACAUUAGAGAUAUUAGACCAGAUUUCAUUCAUACAACAGGGAAACCAAAUGACAACUGCAAACUGGAUAUUAACUUUGCUAACAUAGAGCAGGCAAAUAUAAAGAUUUCUAGUCUAGAUUUUUCCUAACAUCAUACCACAUCAUAACCUGAACUUCAACUUCCAGUACGGUAAAAGGUUACUUAACUAGGCAGCAUACAGGCAAAAAAGAUUGUCAGGAAGCAAGUAGCUAGAAUUCCAAGCAAAGCAGACUAUAAACCUCUCUAUUGCUUAAGAGGCAUUUAACAAAGCAAAUCAGUAUUUUAUUAAUAAUUAUAACCAAGUAAAUAAACUGAAGAGUAAAAAGGAUCAAAGUAGAGCCGCUCUAAGAGCAGCUUGACAGUUGACUAAGGUGAGAAGUUCUGACAUAAAGAAUACCAUACCAUCCAAAGAAGCAACUAUAGACAAUCAUAGUGGAGACAGGAGGCAUAGUUAGUAAGCCUAACAAACUUGACUACCUCUUCUUCUUCAGCCUCUUCAGCAUGCUCAAAGAACCUCCUAAUGCUUUCCCCUCUUGUUAUUGUAACAAAACCAUCCCCAACCACAAGCCUGCAAUGUACACAUUGUUGCCCCUUCAAUGCAUGUGCUUUGACAGAAAGUUCAGUACAUCUACCAUCUAGUUUCCAUGCCCGUAGAGUGAUAUAGCAGGCAUUGAAACCGCUCAAGUCUAGACCACUGACUUGCACUCUUCCACUCAAGCCAACAUUUUCAUAGUCCAAUAUAUCACAUUUUCCUUCUCCAGUUCCAACUGCCCAUUCAAAGUGAUGAUAUGUCCCAAAGGUAUCAAUGAACGCCUGAUGCCAGUCAGCUACAAUUGUGUCGUGAGAAACCUGAACAC
rnacentral:lncRNA from 1 species